rnacentral:tRNA from 2 species
UCCCCGAUAGCUCAGCGGUAGAGCAUUCGACUGUUAAUCGAACGGCCGUUGGUUCGAAUCCAACUCGGGGAGCCA